rnacentral:lncRNA from 1 species
GACUGGGAAGAGGAGGAAGGCGAUAAGGAGGAUAUUGAUGAAAACGAAGUUCGUGAGCAAGUUGGAAGAGCCCAUAUGAAGACAAUGCUUGAUCAAGACCAGCGUGAAGUUCGACUUUUUCAAGAGCUUUUUCUCGAAGAUGGAGAUUUGCAUUCUGAUGGCGGUGGAAGGCAAAGACAAUUUCGGUGGAAACAGGCUGAUGGUGAAAAUACUGAGGAGACGGUGCCCGUCCAAAAAAUCAAGAAGAUGAAGAAGAUGAAGCUGCUGAAGAACAGGAUGAUCUCACAUGGAGAAAAAUUCACAGUGAUAGAGAAAAAUGGCUCCUGCAACAAAAGUCGCAACAGGAAACGAAUAAAGAAGUGCCAUUGGUUAUGAGCCGGCAAACUAAAAUGGUGAAAAUCAACACUGCUUCCAAAACCAUUAAUCAAAUUACAGAAGGCGAUUCCUCCGCUGCUACUGCCAACGCCAAGCAGUCAACGCAUUCUAAGGCGAACAUUGUGACCACUGUGAGAUGCGGAUCUUUUUUACGCAGAAGU